UACGAAGGGGGGCUAGCGUUGCUCGGAAUCACUGGGCGUAAAGCGCACGUAGGCGGCUUUUUAAGUCAGGGGUGAAAUCCUGGAGCUCAACUCCAGAACUGCCUUUGAUACUGAGGAUCUUGAGUUCGGGAGAGGUGAGUGGAACUGCGAGUGUAGAGGUGAAAUUCGUAGAUAUUCGCAAGAACACCAGUGGCGAAGGCGGCUCACUGGCCCGAUACUGACGCUGAGGCACGAAAGCGUGGGGAGCAAACAGG
rnacentral:rRNA from 1 species